rnacentral:rRNA from 1 species
GAUGAACGCUGGCGGCGUGCCUAAUACAUGCAAGUCGAGCGAACGGACGAGAAGCUUGCUUCUCUGAUGUUAGCGGCGGACGGGUGAGUAACACGUGGAUAACCUACCUAUAAGACUGGGAUAACUUCGGGAAACCGGAGCUAAUACCGGAUAAUAUUUUGAACCGCAUGGUUCAAAAGUGAAAGACGGCCUUGCUGUCACUUAUAGAUGGAUCCGCGCUGCAUUAGCUAGUUGGUAAGGUAACGGCUUACCAAGGCAACGAUGCAUAGCCGACCUGAGAGGGUGAUCGGCCACACUGGAACUGAGACACGGUCCAGACUCCUACGGGAGGCAGCAGUAGGGAAUCUUCCGCAAUGGGCGAAAGCCUGACGGAGCAACGCCGCGUGAGUGAUGAAGGUCUUCGGAUCGUAAAACUCUGUUAUUAGGGAAGAACAUAUGUGUAAGUAACUGUGCACAUCUUGACGGGACCUAAUCAGAAAGCCACGGCGAACUACGU